AGUUUGAUCCUGGCUCAGGAUAAACGCUGGCGGCGUGCCUAACACAUGCAAGUCGAACGCGCUUUUGUCGCAAGAGAGAAGCGAGUGGCGGACGGGUGAGUAACACAUGGGUACCUACCCCACAGUGAGGGAUACCGGCGAGAAAUCGCCGACAAUACCGCAUAGGCUUGUUGCAAAACAAGCAAAGUUGCGCAAGCGACGCUGAGGGAUGGGCCUGUGGCCGAUUAGCUGGUUGGGGGGGUAAUGGCCUCCCAAGGCUGCGAUCGGUAGCUGGUCUGAGAGGACGAUCAGCCACACUGGGAUUGAGAACGGCCCAGACUCCUACGGGGGGCAGCAGUGAGGAAUUUUCCGCAAUGGAGGCAACUCUGACGGAGCAACGCCGCGUGCAGGACGAAGGUUUUCGGAUCGUAAACUGCUUUUCUCGGGGACGAGCAAGGACGGUACCCGAGGAAGAAGCCCCGGCUAACUACGUGCCAGCAGCCGCGGUAAUACGUAGGGGGCGAGCGUUGUCCGGAUUUAUUGGGCGUAAAGCGCACGCAGGCGGUGCGGUAAGUUUGGGGUGACAGCGUUCGGCUUAACCGGGCGAGUGUCCCAAAGACUGCCGCACUUGAGGGCCAAAGAGGAACACAGAAUUCCGGGUGUAGUGGUGAAAUGCGUAGAUAUCCGGAGGAAUACCAAAGGCGAAGGCAGUGUUCUGGGUGGCUCCUGACGCUCAGGUGCGAAAGCUAGGGGAGCGAACGGGAUUAGAUACCCCGGUAGUCCUAGCCGUAA
rnacentral:rRNA from 1 species